UACGUAGGUGGCAAGCGUUGUCCGGAUUUACUGGGCGUAAAGCGCGCGCAGGCGGGAUGGCAAGUCGGAUGUGAAAGCCCUCGGCUCAACCGGGGAAGUGCAUUCGAAACUGCUGUUCUUGAGUGUCGGAGAGGGUGGUGGAAUUCCCGGUGUAGAGGUGAAAUUCGUAGAUAUUAGGAAGAACACCGGUGGCGAAGGCGGCCCACUGGCUCGAUACUGACGCUGAGGUGCGAAAGCGUGGGGAGCAAACAGG
rnacentral:rRNA from 1 species